rnacentral:rRNA from 1 species
GAGUAAUGCCUAGGAAAUUGCCCUGAUGUGGGGGAUAACCAUUGGAAACGAUGGCUAAUACCGCAUGAUGCCUACGGGCCAAAGAGGGGGACCUUCGGGCCUCUCGCGUCAGGAUAUGCCUAGGUGGGAUUAGCUAGUUGGUGAGGUAAGGGCUCACCAAGGCGACGAUCCCUAGCUGGUCUGAGAGGAUGAUCAGCCACA